rnacentral:rRNA from 1 species
UACGUAGGGUGCAAGCGUUUAAUCGGAAUUACUGGGCGUAAAGGGCGCGUAGGCGGCCUGUUAAGUCGGACGUGAAAUCCCCUGGCUCAACCCGGGAACUGCAUCCGAUACUGGCAGGCUUGAAUUCGGGAGAGGGAUGCGGAAUUCCAGGUGUAGCGGUGAAAUGCGCAGAUAUCAGGAGGAACACCAGCGGCGAAGGCGGCGCUCUGGGCCGGUACUGACGCUGAGGAGCGAAAGCGUGGGUAGCAAACGG